AAUUUUUCUAAUUUUAAUGAUAAUAUUUUUUCCUUGAAGUGCAGGUAAAAUCACUAUUAUAAAAAGACUAAGUAUAAAAAUAUAGUAAGAAGCAAAAUGUCAUUUCUCAUUCAAAGAGCUGCAUUGUAAUAUGGG